UGGGGAAUAUUGGUCAAUGGGCGCAAGCCUGAACCAGCAACGCCGCGUGAGGGAUGAAGGUCCUCGGAUUGUAAACCUCUUUCAGCAGGGACGAAGCGAAAGUGACGGUACCUGCAAAAGAAGCACCGGCUAACUACGUGCCAGCAGCCGCGGUAAUACGUAGGGUGCAAGCGUUGUCCGGAUUUAUUGGGCGUAAAGAGCUCGUAGGCGGCCUGACACGUCGGAUGUGAAAACACGGUGCUUAACACCGUGCCUGCAUUCGAUACGGUCAAGCUAGAGGAUGUCAGGGGAAACUGGAAUUCCUGGUGUAGCGGUGAAAUGCGCAGAUAUCAGGAGGAACACCGGUGGCGAAGGCGGGUUUCUGGGACAUUACUGACGCUGAGGAGCGAAAGCGUGGGGAGCAAACA
rnacentral:rRNA from 1 species